rnacentral:lncRNA from 1 species
GUGCCAGCCCAGGUGCCAGCCCAGGUGACAGCUGUGUCCCCACAGCUGCUGGAGUACGAGCCCCGCUCAGGGGAGCAGGUGCCGCUGCUGCUGAAGAUGAAACGCAGCAAACUGGCCCUGGGCAAAGCCAUCGAGAGCGGGGACACCGACCUGGGUGAGGGGACAGCGGGGACACCACGGGGGUGGGGAACCCCGGGAAUGGGCUGGGGGAUCCCCGGGAAUGUUCUGGGGUCUGGGGAACCCCGGGAAUGGGCUGGGGGAUCCCCGGGAAUGUUCUGGGGAAUGGGGAACCCCGGGAAUGGGCUGGGGGAUCCCCGGGAAUGUUCUGGGAUCUGGGGAACCCCGGGAAUGGGCUGGGGGAGCUCCUGGAAUGUUCUGGGGGAACCUUUUGGGGUCUGGGGGAAUCCCCUGGGAAUGUUCUGGGGGAUUGGGAACCCCGGGAAUGUUCUGGGGGAUCCCUGGGAAUGUUCUGGGAGAUCCCCUGGGAAUGUUCUGGGAUCUGGGGGAGAUUCUGUAAUGUUCUAGGGUCUGGGGGAUCCCCUGGGAAUGUUCUGGGGGAUGUGGGAGCUCUGGGAAUGUUUUGGGGUUUGGGAGAUCCUGGAAUGUUCUGGGGGAUCCCCUGGGAAUGUUCUGGGGGAUCCCUGGGAAUGUUCUGGGGAAUGGGGGAACCCCGGGAAUGGGCUGGGGGAUCCCCGGGAAUGUUCUGGGGGAGCCCCUGGGAAUGUUCUGGGGGAUCCCUGGGAAUGUUCUGGGGGAUCCCCGGGAAUGUUCUGGGGAAUGGGGGAACCUUUUGGGGUCUGGGGGAAUCCCCUGGGAAUGUUCUGGGGGAUUGGGAACCCCGGGAAUGGGCUGGGGGAGCCCCUGGGAAUGUUCUGGGGUCUGGGGGAUCCCUGGGAAUGUUCUGGGGGAUCCCUGGGAAUGUUCUGGGGGAGCUCCUGGAAUGUUCUGGGGGCUGGGAGAACAUUUUGGGGUCUGGGGGAGAUCCUGGGAAUGUUCUGGGAUCUGGGGGAGAUCCUGGAAUGUUCUGGGGUGUGGGAGCUCCUGGAAUGUUCUGGGGGCUGGGAGAACUUUUUGGGGUCUGGGGGAAUCCCCUGGGAAUGUUCUGGAGUCUGGGGAACCCCGGGAAUGGGCUGGGGGAUCCCUGGGAAUGUUCUGGGGUCUGGGGGAUCCCUGGGAAUGUUCUGGGGGAUGUGGGAGCUCUGGGAAUGUUUUGGGGUUUGGGAGAUCCUGGAAUGUUCUGGGGGAUCCCUGGGAAUGUUCUGGGGGAUCCCUGGGAAUGUUCUGGGGGAGCUCCUGGAAUGUUCUGGGGUCUGGGAGAACCUUUUGGGGUCUGGGAGAUCCCCUGGGAAUGUUUUGGGGUCUGGGGGAGCUCCUGGAAUGUUCUGGGGUCUGGGGGAACCUUUUGGGGUCUGGGAGAUCCCCUGGGAAUGUUUUGGGG